CACCCCGUGAGUGCCCAGGGUUAUGCGGCUGCUUCUGCGGGGAGCGAGCCUUCAAGGCCAAGGCGACAGCCAAGUGCCCUGCGGUGCUGAGACACACCUGGAGCCAGGCCCCUUCGGGGCAGAGAAGGAUGCGCCGAGAUGAGAAACGAGGCUGGGCUUGCGAGGAGCUGGCGGGUUUCAGUUCACACGGCCCGGGAGGCACCCGCGGGUUUCAGGGCAGGACGCCCCUAGCGGGGAGGAGCCGGUCUUCACAGUCUUGUUCGUGGCGAGGUCUGUCCAGACCAAACGCUGCCUGUUAAGGGUCUGCUCCCUGCCACGACCUCGGCACCCAGGGGCGGGGCAGGGGGAGUUCGAGGGUCUUGGUUUGGCCUUAAUGUCUGCGGACCAGAUCCUAUUUUUAUCUCCCCAGAAGCUUCUGGAAACAAGAAAGGCCAUUUCAGAGUGCUGGGGAGCCACAGAGGAGCCGGAGGCUGAUGCCCAGAAGACGGGGUAAACCCAGACCACGGGGCCCUUGGAGGAACACAUGACCGCCCACUCUGGGCCCGGGAGGGACCAGAGGCAGAAGACAGCUAAGGGGGUCUGUCUUCCUGGCCCAGCUUUAGGGCAAGUAGCAGGAGGAGGCUGGGGUGCAGGUCACAGCUGGCCUGAGGCCGGCGCAGCCCUGGUGCACGGAGCUGCCCCGCCGGCAGGAGCCACCCUCGCACUCGUCUCAUCUGCUGCCCAGGGAACAGCCCGUGGUUUCCACAGAAACCAAAGGAGCCCAGUCUGCAGGAAUGCGGACAUGAUGGCUGGAGCUGAUGCAGCUGUUUUGGCCCAUGAGGAUGGCAAGAGAGAGCCUGCCUCUGUGGGAGGCAGAAGAGCCUCACCCAAACCUCCUCUCUGUGGAAACACGCCAAGACCAGGGCUGCGUUUCCAGGCCAGACGCGGGAGAAUCAAACACUUCAAGGAAGACGUGCUCACUGGAAACUACAAGCUCUUUGCUUAAGCCAAGGAACGUGUGGUUCUUUCAAGCUUGUAAUCUUUGUGCUCUUGGUGCUAACGUUUCCCUUUCCAGACCCUGGCAGGGGGUCUCCUUCUGCCCAGCCCCUGGGUGCGGCCUUUCCAUUGUUGGGGUGCCUGCUCCCACCCACUAUCUUUGCAGCCCUUCGGAGCUACCCCAAGCCCACCCACAGCCCACUUCGAGCUACUCAGCUCCCUCCUGGCCACAGAAUGUUACUUUCUUUCAAGUCAGUAACAGAAGCCCUGACAUUUAAUAAUCAUGUAAUUAAUUGUUCCAGUGGGCUAUUUCCUCAUCCAGCUUCAUUGUAAGAUGCACAGAGCAGGAAUCAUGCCACAUUUUCCCUGAUGUUCAUCCUGCCCUCGCCACGAGGAUUUUGCUGGGGGCACCAUAGUCACUCAACAAACACUCUGUGCGCUUCAUUUCACAGGAGGGUUGAACCCGGGCUGUUUUCUUUUCUUCAUUUUUCGGAAAGCAACAACCAACACCACUGGACCACAAAGAGACCUACAUGUCCCACCUGGCCGGGUGACUGGCUGGAUUUCUCCACCAUAAAGGCAGUGGCCGUUUCCCUUUGCACCUAACUGAUUCCCUUGAAGCUUUUCCGGCCCCAUGUGACUUGCUGUAGCCUUUAACUAAAUGCUCUUCGUUCUGCUGGAAGAAUGGGAAGAGGGUGACACCCUGCCCAGGAUUGACAGACACGGGGCUGCCAGUCCUGCCUUGACCUCUCUGAGCCUCAGGUCCCAGCUCCACAAAAUGGGACUAAACGGGGACUGGGUCAUCUCUAAGGUCCUCCCAGCUUUGUCAUUGCCCAAUUUAGGUUGUGACUCUGUCUAGAGGUUACUGUGUCCGUACUAUCAUUGUCUUUUUGGUAACAGCCCUUCACUUAAUCAACGGGGCAGGUAGUUUGGGGAAAGUAUCUCUCAGAGUCCGCCAGGCACAAUGGGGCAGGAAGUAGGAGCUUGAGUUUUCUCUGGUGAAUGGCCGUGGGACCGCUGGUCUCAGUGCUCACAAAUAGGAACCUGCCCUGUCUUAUUCUGUCCACUUUUGGGGAAAGGUCUUUAUACUAUUAGAAGUUCAUGAACACAUUAAAACAAUCAAA